rnacentral:rRNA from 1 species
UACGUAGGGGGCUAGCGUUGUCCGGAUUUAUUGGGCGUAAAGGGCUCGUAGGCGGCCAACUAAGUCAUACGUGAAAUCCCUCAGCUUAACUGGGGAACUGCGUGUGAUACUGGAUGGCUUGGAUUUGGGAGAGGGAUGCGGAAUUCCAGGUGUAGCGGUGAAAUGCGUAGAUAUCUGGAGGAACACCGGUGGCGAAGGCGGCAUCCUGGACCAAUAUUGACGCUGAGGAGCGAAAGCCAGGGGAGCAAACGGG